GACUCGUUAGCUCAGUGGGAGAGCACUUGCUUGACAGGCAAGGGGUCGCUAAGUCCAAUACGGGUCACCA
rnacentral:tRNA from 1 species